AUCCUUACAAACCCAAAUUUUCACCUUUAUAGAAUUUAUUCAUGGCAUAGAUCAUAGUUUCUUCUACCUCUAAUAGUUUUUAUCAAGACAACUUCAUCGUUUAUCUACAUUCAUUAGAAUGCCCAUGUCUUUCUUUGGGACUUAAAUUUUAUAGUACAUUUUCAGCCUUUAAUUUCCAUUCAAAUUUCGUAUCAGCUUUGCCCACCUCUCUUGAGGAACAAGUUGAUGAUUACGCUUAAGCAAAUUUUCUUACUCAGUGAAUUUAUAAUUGUUUUGGAACAAAAACUUAUUAAAUAUCAUGAGAGAAGGGUUUUUGAAGUUUGAAAAAAAAAAAAGGAAACUUAGGUUUCACUUUUUCUAAAAAUUAUCAAAUAUUUAGAAUAACUUUGAAAUGACUAACAUAGUUCUAAAUGAUCAUCAUUUUCUUAAGGUAUCAAAAUAGGUGUUUUCAUAAUUUGAUUCCUUUAAAUUUUGAAUUUGUUUUGUUUAUCUAAUUUUAUCAAAUUUAAGUUAAAUUUACAACUACUUCGGCCAAAAAAUCACUUGAAUAUUAUCUUAAAAGGUUUUCUGAAUUUUUAUCCUUUUAAAACCUGGAUCAUACUAUUUUUGAAUGAGAUUAUACUAUCUUUAGGUUCCUAUUAAAGAAAAUUUAACCCCAUUAAAUUUUUUUUAGGAAAUUUAAAAAAAUUAUAAGCACAAAUACCUAUGUUUCUAAUUUUAGUCUUUAAAAUAGGUAUUUUCACUUAUUAAAGCCCUUAAAAGAUUGAAUUUGUCAUUAUCUAAAUUAACCUAGUUUAAGGUGAAUUUACAACCACCUUGAUCUAAAAAACCAGUUAAAUAUUAUUUUUCUGAAGUUCUAUUAAAAAAUUAUUUUCGAGACUAAGAGUUAUAUUAUUUCUGGAGUCAUAUUAAAAACAGUAUAAUCUUAUUAAAAAAGAAUAACUCAUGAUCCACUUUUCUCAAAAACUAUCAAAUUUCCAAGAUACUUUGGCAAUGACUUACACAGACUUAAAUGAUUUUUUCUAUUUUUUACCCUUAAAAUGAUGAAUCUGUGUUAAUUUUAUAAAUUUGGCCAAUUUAUGAUGAAUUUUCAACCACUUUACCCCAAAACCACUUGUAUAUUAUUAGAGAAUGUUUUUUUAGUUACAUAGUUUUCAAACAAGGUAUAUUGUUUUUGGAAACCUAUUCUAAAAUAGUAUAAUCCUAAUAAAUAAAGUGUAAUUAAGAUAAGUCUUUAACAUUGGUAUUUUCACUGAUUUCGAUCCUUAAAAGGUUUAAUUUGUGUAUUUAUUUAAUUUUGGCUAAUUCAACAUGAAUUUAUAACCACUUUGAGCAAAAAAAACAUAUAAAUAUUGUUAGAGAAGAUUUUUCGAAGUUGAGAGAAAAUUUUUUGGAGACCUAUCUUAUGUUGUUUUAAAAUGAACAAGGUCACAUUAUUUUUUAGUCCUAUUAAAAAAAUGGUGUAAUCUCACUUUAAAUAAAUAUAACUCAGAUAUCACAUUUAAAAAAAAAAUAUUAAAAUCUCAGAAAUCCUUAGAAAUGAUAUGCAAAGGCCCAAAUGACCUCUUUUUGGACAAAAUUACACAAUUUUUAACUUUAUUAAAAAAUAGUAUAAUCCCAUUAAAAAAGAACAUAACUUAGGUGCUAGUUUUCUUUUCUUUUUUUUGAAGUUUUAGGAAACUAUGGAAAUAAUGUAGGAAGGUCUAAAUGGCCACUUUUGGUUCUUAAGCUUUUAAAAUGGAUGUUUCCACGAUUUUUAGCCUUAAAAUAUUGAAUUUAUCUCAUUUUAAAAUUUUGUCCAAUUUAACGUGAAUUAAUAACCACUUUGGGUCACAAAAAAUGAAUAUCAUGAGAUUAAUGUUUUGAGAAAAUAAUUUUGAAGUCCUUGCUUAUAUUAUUUUUGAGAUUUGAUUUACACGAUUUUUGAAUAUGAUUGCAUUGUUUUUAUUAUUGAGUUCAAAAAUAGUGCGACUCAAUUCAAAAAUUUUAUAACUCAGAUCUCACUAUUUCUAUAUUUUAUGAAAUUUUAGAAUUCCUUUUAAAUGACUUACAAAGGCCUAUAUGUAUUUUUUUCCUAUUUCUAAGUCAUUCAAAUAGGCAUUUUCACUGAUUUCAACCCUUAAAUGGUUGAAUUUAUAUCAUUUUUUUUAUUUUUAUAAAAUUUGAAGUAAAUUUAAACUAUGUCGGGUAUAAAUUCACUUAAAUUUUAUUGAAAAAGUUUUUAUAAAAUAAUAAAAAUAAAAUUUUGGAGACUCGAGUUACAUUUUUUAAAUCUAGGGUUGCAUUGUUUUUAAUCCUAUUUAAAAAAAAAGCAUUUAAUGUCAUUCAAAAAGACUACGAAGACUAGAAAACAAUUUAACCCCAUCCAAAAAGCCUUUAAAAUAGGUAUGAAUAUUUAUUUUAACCGUUAAAGCAGUUCAUUAAAGUCCGAUUUCAAAUAAAGUUCAUUGUACUUUUAUUUGAUCCAAUUUGAGUACUUCUAUAGGAUAGACCUCAACAGAGUAUUUUAGUCCUAUUUAAAUAUAGGAUAACCUUGUUCAAAAAGAGUAAAAGUCAGGUCUAACUCUUUUUUAUUUUCUAAUUUUUAAGAACAUAAAAAACUAUUUACAAAGGCCUAAAUCAUCAAAUAAGUAUUUCACAUAUUUUUAAGCUUUUAAAAGGGCCAAGAGUCAUUUUUUCAAUUUUGACCAAUAUAACAUGAAUUUACAACUAUUUUGUACUAAAAUCACUUAUAUGUUAUUAAAGAACGUUUUCUAAAGUUUUGAAAUAUUUUUUUUUGGAGACAAAGUUACACUGUUUUCAAAUUUUUAGGUUUUUAUUCAAAAAUAGUGUAAUUUAGGUCUAACUAUUUUAGAAAUAUCCAAAAUUUCGAAAAAACUUGGAAAUAAUAUAUAAGACCCAAAUGAUCAUUUUUUAUUUUUAAUAUUUUAAAAUAAGAAUUUUUAUGUCAUUGUUGAGACAACCUAAUGGUUAAUGCAUUGUUGCAAUAUUAAUUGAUGUAAGGUUCGACUACAUGUUUGGGUGUCUUAUACAUUGUUUAAUGUAAUAAUUUUUUAAAACAUAUGGUUAUUAAAUUUUUAAAUCUUUGAAAAGCUCAAUUUGUACCUUUUUUUCAAAUUUGAUAUUUAAAGUGAAUUUACAAUUACUUUAGGCCAAAAACUAGUGAAUAUUAUCGUCGUAUGUUUUCCAAAGGAGUUGAGUUACAUUGUUUUUGGUUCUCAUUUACAAACAAUAUUUCUUCAUUAAAAAAAAAAAUGCCAAUUCAGUCAACUAUUUCAAAACGAUCCAGGAUUUAAUAAAACCUUAAAAACAUUUUAUAAAGGCUUGAACAAUCACUUUUUCUAUUUCAAACUUUUAAAAUAGAUAUUUUAAACUUUCAAAAUCGAUAUUUUCACUGAUUUUAGUCCUUUUCGACUAAUUUGAAAAGAAUUUACAAUCACUUAGGCCAAAAAUCACUUGUAAAUUAUUAGAAAUUUUCUUUCUAAGUUUUAAUUAAAAAAUUGGAUACUUGAAUUACAAUAUUUUUAAAUAGCAUUGGACUAUUUUUGAGUCCUAUUAUAAAAAAUGUAACCUCAGUUUCACUCAAUUCAAAAAAUCAUUAGAUUCUGUUUCUCUUAUAAAUUUACAUUCCUCCAAUAACAUUCAAUUAUAUUUCAUCUCUUGUUCCUUAAUCCUUCAGUAACUUUCGUUGUCUGACAAGCAUAAAAAAAAGGUGUAUCUGUCUGAAAAUUGCAAAGAAUUUUGGUGAACUUCUAUGAUUCAUAGAACGCCCUGUGCCUCAAGCUCGUCGCCUCCGACGACGUCAUCGUCGCCGAGGUACUGCCGCUGCCGACGCUCCCGUCGUUGUGGUACCUCUUGUGCCCCCCAGCGCUUGCCCCAACGGAAACGUCUUCAGGCACACCGAACACCGGUGCACCCUGCCGCCGUCGGAGGCCGCCGCGGUGGCGCUUGCGCUUGCCGUGGAAGAGCCCCGAGGCCGAGGCUUCCUCGACGCCGCUGCUAGCCUUCCGAUGGCUGGCAUUGUGCCCGCCCAGGUGAUCGAAUCAAACCUGAAAAACCAAAGAAAGAAGCAAAAAAAACAAAAAAUAAAAAAACAAAAAAUAUAUAUAUUGUGCAUAAAGAAAUAACUGAGAAAGAAAAGUUUUACCAUAACACAGAUUUAACCUCCUCAUUUCAUUCCAUUCAUAGUAUCCACUUACAAAAUUAAAGCACAUUCCUAAUACUUAAUCACACAUCCACUAAAUAAAGAUAGAUAAAUAAAAAUAUGAGCAGGAUUACAAUAAUAAACUACAUAGUACUAUUAGUCUAGGCAGGAACUAAGAUGACGCAGACAACACUCUUCUUCUCUAGUCAUUCUUCCAUAAACUGUCAUUAUAAAAAUAAGCACCAUAAUUAGUAUAAAAAUAAAUAAUAUCAAACACUUAGCCAUCACACAGUCGGUCACUCGCACUCGGUGUUUACCAUGAGAACCAUUUUAUAGACAAAACCGGCAACAGGGGGAGCCGCGGAGGUCCACCUUCGCAUAGAUGGGGGCGGUGUGGUGCUUCGAGGGUGAGGGUAAUAAACACGCCGCUGCAGCUUGUGUCCUUCCCAAGUAGGGGAAGUAAGUGAUGGCAGUGGAACUUCUUUCUUUCUUCAGAAGAGAGUGGUUGGCAUGAAUUGAAGGGCAUCAAUGGUGGGUUGAGAGAAAAGAGAUGGGAAGGGUAAGGUAUGGGGUUCAGUCAGUAGUUGGGACGAGGUGUGGAGGUGCGGUUACUCUCUCCCUCCCUCUUUUUAUAUGCAUAGCUGUAAGAGAAGCACAGGAAGAGAGAGAGCAGUGUGCAUAUACAUAGCUGUAAGAGAAGUACAGGAAGAGAGAGAGCAGUGUGCAUAUACAUAGCUGUAAGAGAAGCACAGGAAGAGGGGUUGAAUUUCCAAAUGGAAAUGGCAACCAUUGCUGCGCGGUCCCUCUGCUUACUUCCAAUGUACAUAAUGGAAAUGCCAUAGCUAUUCCGUUCCCAUGUCCAUAAUAGCAUACUCGAAGGAUGUGACGUGUAUGUACAUUUAUACGUUCAUAGGCAUACGUUAAUCAGGGAUGAAGAGAAGGAGCAGGGCAGCAUGACACGAAUAGCGCCACAUAUUAUGUAAUCUAGAUGCGAGCUUCGCCACAAAGUAAGUAGCGGGUAAUGGCACAUCAUCAUCGUUAUGGGACGGAUGUGUCACGCACCACCCAAUUAAAGGAAGGCACGGAAAGUGCCUCUUCCGGCUUCGAAAUAUUAUCCAUGUCCAAGAUCUUCUACCACAAGGAUAUCCCAUUACUACCGGCCAUGCUGCUGGUGCUAUCGAUUCAGGUGAUUUCUUCUUCUAGUAUCGAGAAAUUGGUAUUAAAAAAUAAUUAUUUAUUCUUUUUUUUGUAAAGAAGAGGCAAUAAAUAAUAUGGUUGCUGAAUUUUGAUGAUUUAGUUAGUUAGUUAGUUAUUGUUGGAUCACUCAUGACCAUUGACGACUGAAACGGGACCCAUAGGAUCAACAUAUGAAUCCCAUUAAUGCUGGCUUAUGGUAUUUACGCGGGUGAAGAUUUGCGCGUUGCUCGAAGUAUUUUGCUCGCUUUGCUCAGUCACUGUCACGGUCAUCAUCAUUUCACGGGUGAGCUUUUGAGAGACAGUGGAAUCACGGGUGAGCUUUUGAGAGGCAGUGGUUUCUCAGAUCGUGGUGUGUGAGAUAUGGCCAAGGUUGCGGAGAUGGUUAGCGAGCCGGAGAAGGAGAUUGUUGGGCUUGUCCGCAGGUGCAUAAAGACCGUGGCUUGAGGCACCCACUUCCCUUGUUAUUACCCUCACUCUCGAAGCACCACAUAGCCCUCAUCUUUGUGAAGGUGGACCUCCGCGGCCCCCCCUGCUUGUACGAGAUCUGCCGGAUGCGUUACUGAUGGUGGUGACGACAAAGUGUGCAGUCGAUCGAGACUUACCUGACCAUGAGGUUCCUCGAUACGGUUUCCGAUCACUCAUGACCAUUGCCUCCUCGUGCUCGCCCGCGGAUGAGGGCCUGGUACUUAUCGCGUGCCAUUGUUAUCCUCCGACUUGGCCGGCGAAGCUCGAGUACAGGCCUUUCGUCUACGGGUAAGCAUUCGGGUCGUAUCAAGCCCUAGGCGGGCACAAGGCUAGCCAUCGGAAGCCUAGCAGCGGUGUCGAGGAAGCCUUGCCCCGGGCUCUUCCACGAUUAGCGCAAGCGCCUCCUUCCGGCCUCCGGUGGCGGCAGGGUGCACCGGUGCUCGGGGUGCCUCAUUCUAUUCAUAGUUUUAACAUAGUAUUAUUCAUUCAUACAAAAUAAAAACAUACUCCUACAUAUUAAAUAUUAAAACAUACCAUAACAUUUACUCACACAUCCACAUACAUAAAUAAAAAGACUAAUUUAAAACUACAAACUACAUAGUGCUAUUAGCAAAAGGUGCUGUCUGGGGGGGGGGGGGCAGCAUUUCAGGCGGCGAGCGUAACAGUCUUUGGUACUUUGCCCUGUGACUGUCAUGGAUAUAAUCAAUAAGAUUAGCAAUAUAUAAAAAAAUAGAAUGACACCCUUACCCUUAGCCAUCUCUCACAAACAAUCACUCGCUCGUACUUGGUCUUAUACUACGACAACCAUUUUAUAGACGUGAACUCACUCCCUCUCAAAAGCCAACCCGUGAGGUGACAGUGACCACGACAGCGACCUGAGCAAAGCCAGUACUUCGUGCGACGUAUAAAUGUUCAUCCGCCUAAACACCGUGGUUCUAUGGGUCACGUUUCAAUGGCCAAUGAUCAUGUGUUAUUGGAAACCAUAAGUAAUAGAGUCGGAGGACAACAAUGGCAGUACCGGGCCCUCGCCCGAGGAGGCAGAGCGCCCCUCCUUUGUCGGCGGGUGAUCGAAGCGGAGGGAGAAUCACGUAUCAAACCUGAAAAAAAGAAACAAGCAAAAAAAAAAAAAAACAUAUUGUGCAUAACACAGAUUUAACCUCGUUUCAUUCCAUUCAUAGUAUCAAUAUACAGAGUAAAACGCUUAAUCACAGUCAUAUAUUACAAAAUUAAAGUACAACUCUAAGAAGUUAAUCACACAUCCCACUAGAUAAGAUAACCUAAGUUAACGAGGAGGAUUAGAUAAUAAUAAACUACAUAGUGCCAUUAACCGACGCUGGAUUUGGAUGACAACACGGUAGUUUUUCGGCACAGCAGUCUUUACCUUCGUCAAUAAAAAACAUUAAAAUAAUCAUUAUAAACAACAUAAAAAUAAAUAACAUCACACCAGCCAUCCUUCGUACGUUACUAUUUCACAACUCGUACUCGUUGUUGUACUAUGAGUACCAUUUUAUAGACAAUGGUUCGACCUACUCCCUCUCAAAAGCCAGCCCACCCGUGAGGUGAGUGCCCGCGACAACGAUGUGAGCUACUUUGUGCGAUGCGCUAAUGUUCAGCGUUGGUCCUAUUGGUCCGAUGCUGCAUUAGUUUGUUCGGUUUGCCAUGCUGACCAGAAGAUGGAUGCUGAAAAAGCAAAUUGUUACUAUACAUGUACAAAGUCAAAGAUUAUAAAUAUGUUUAUUUUGACUAAUAUUAGACAUUUUACAACAUCAACUACAAGUAUGAUGAAUGAAUGAUGGAUGGUCUCUGUUCCCACGUUUCAUCAUAGUAUCACUGAUUACAUGAGGGUUGUUAAUGACCACAUUUAUUAUCCAAAAAAUCAACAUUUGAUGUGUGUUUUAUCAUUAAUGAUGAGAACUUACAUUUGACAUAUUUGAAAGCAUAUGUAUUGCUUGAUACCAAUUAGAACAAACAUGGCAGAUCAAGAAAAAAUACUAGUUAUGAACCACAGUUUUUGGGCUGAGUUGACUCCUAAAGUUGUUGAAAGUCUCUUCCCUGUUCAUCAAGGAACACAAGUUUUAGAGCAGAAACAACCGAGGACAUACAAUUCAUCCAGAUGUGGAAUUCAUACCAAUUGAUGACCUCAUAUCCAUGUGAUGAUGCUAUUUUUUGUGCACGCAAAACAAAAUACUUGUAGCCCUGAGAUUCAUUCAUUCUAUGUUUAUUCAACCUGUAAAAGAAAUUACAUAAUGCUGGAAGAUAAUCUAAAGUUUAUCUGAGUUAGUGUUAAAAUGUGUUAUCUAGAGUCAUACUAAAUUCCUUGACACCGUUGCUAGGCUUCCGGUGGCUGGCCUUGUGCCAGCCUAGAGCCUGGUAAGACCCGAAUGCCUUCUCGCAGACUCAACGACCUGAAUGCCGAGUGGGAGGCCAACAAUGGCAGGCGAUGAGUACCGGACCCUCAGCCGUAGAGCGCCAAGUACUCUUUCUUUGUCGAUGCCAAGUACCGGACCCUCUCAAACCUGAAAAAAAAAAAAGAACAAAAGAAAAAAAAAGAAAAAAUAUAUUGUGCAUAAUGAAAUAGCAAAAGUUUUACCAUGACACAGGAUAACACGGGUGGGCUGGCACUGUCAGCUCACGGGUGGGUUGGCUUUUGAGAGGGAGUAGGUCGAAUCAUUGUCUAUAAAA